CUGCUUUCUUUUGAUGGCCUUUCGACUGUGCUCAGAGAAAACUGCCUUCUCCAGGGUUUCAAGUUGAAGUUGUGAUGCCAGCAAGGUCUAAAGCUGAUACUGCCGCUAAAGGAUCCGAUGGUACUACAAGUUCAGGUUAUAUUCCGAAGCCAAGUGGUAAAGUUCCAACAAAUUCCAACCAAAGAUAAGUCUCCAAGAUGAAGAUGAUAUAUUCUCGGAUAGUGAUGGAGAAGAAACUAGUAGUCCAAAG
rnacentral:misc_RNA from 1 species